rnacentral:rRNA from 1 species
AACGAACGCUGGCGGCAGGCUUAACACAUGCAAGUCGAACGCCCCGCAAGGGGAGUGGCAGACGGGUGAGUAACGCGUGGGAAUCUACCUAGUUCUACGGAACAACACAGGGAAACUUGUGCUAAUACCGUAUACGCCCUACGGGGGAAAGAUUUAUCGGAAUUAGAUGAGCCCGCGUAAGAUUAGCUAGUUGGUGGGGUAAUGGCCUACCAAGGCGACGAUCUUUAGCUGGUCUGAGAGGAUGAUCAGCCACACUGGGACUGAGACACGGCCCAGACUCCUACGGGAGGCAGCAGUGGGGAAUAUUGGACAAUGGGCGAAAGCCUGAUCCAGCCAUGCCGCGUGAGCGAUGAAGGCCUUAGGGUUGUAAGGCUCUUUCAGUAGGGAAGAUAAUGACGGUACCUACAGAAGAAGCCCCGGCUAACUUCGUGCCAGCCGCCGCGGUAA